UACAGAGGGGGCAAGCGUUGUUCGGAAUUACUGGGCGUAAAGGGCGCGUAGGCGGCCUUCUAAGUCAGACGUGAAAUCCCCGGGCUCAACCCGGGAACUGCGUCUGAGACUGGAAGGCUCGAAUCCGGGAGAGGGAUGCGGAAUCCAGGUGUAGCGGUGAAAUGCGUAGAUAUCUGGAGGAACACCGGUGGCGAAGGCGGCAUCCUGGACCGGCAUUGACGCUGAGGCGCGAAAGCCAGGGGAGCAAAGCGGG
rnacentral:rRNA from 1 species